AGAGUUUGAUCAUGGCUCAGGACGAACGCUGGCGGCGUGGAUUAGGCAUGCAAGUCGAACGGUAUGGUGCUUUCGGGCAUCAGAGAGUGGCGAACGGGUGAGUAACACGUAGGUAAUCUACCCUCAAGACGGGGACAACCCAGGGAAACUUGGGCUAAUACCGGAUGAUAGCAGCAGCGAUGUUGUUUAAAAGAUGGCUUUCGGGCUGUCGUUUGGGGAUGAGCCUGCGUCCUAUUAGCUAGUUGGUGUGGUAAAGGCACACCAAGGCGAUGAUAGGUAGGCGGCCUUAACGGGUGGUCGCCCACACUGGGAUUGAGAUACGGCCCAGACUCCUACGGGAGGCAGCAGUCGAGAAUAGUCUACAAUGGUCGGAAGACUGAUAGUGCGACGCCGCGUGAACGAGGAAGCCCUUCGGGGUGUAAAGUUCUUUUAUAUGUGAGCAGUGGGUUCUACGUUAAUAGCGUGGGAUCAGGGAUAUUAGCAUAUGAAUAAGCAACGGCUAACUCCGUGCCAGCAGCCGCGGUAACACGGGGGUUGCGAGCGUUGUCCGGAAUUACUAGGCGUAAAGGGCAGGUAGGCGGAUCUAUAAGUUUUUUGUCAAAUUCAACGGCUCACCCGUUGCGCGGCAGGAGAUACUGUAGAUCUGGAAUGCGGUUGGGGAAGACAGAAUUCCUGGUGUAGCGGUGGAAUGCGCAGAGAUCAGGAGGAAUACCUAAGGCGAAGGCAGUCUUCUAAGCCGUAAUUGACGCUAAACUGCGAAGGUGUGGGUAUCAAACAGGAUUAGAUACCCUGGUAGUCCACACAGUAAACGAUAAUCACUGG
rnacentral:rRNA from 1 species